UACAGAGGUCUCAACCGUUGUUCGGAUUCAUUGGGCGUAAAGGGUGCGUAGGCGGCGGGGCAAGUCAGGUGUGAAAUCUCGGGGCUCAACCCCGGAAACUGCACUUGAUACUGCCUUGCUCGAGUACUGGAGAGGAGACUGGAAUUUACGGUGUAGCAGUGAAAUGCGUAGAUAUCAGGAGGAACACCGGUGGCGAAGGCGGCUUUCUGGACAGAAACUGACGCUGAUGCGCGAAAGCUAGGGGAGCAAACAGG
rnacentral:rRNA from 1 species